rnacentral:ribozyme from 1 species
UGCCCAGCAACUCCUAUCCCUACCUCCACGCGGUACCGGCCGGAAACUAUGAGCAACCUUAGGGAAGAUCGGGUAACCAACCCCGGUGGGAACUUUGGUCGUAUGCUGACAGGGAAGG